rnacentral:misc_RNA from 1 species
GAGUCGAGAGCAUGUGGACAGAAAAAGAAGGUCUAUUUCGCCAUUGCCAAGGUCACAAAAGCAUGCAUCUUAUUAUGGUAGGGAACGUGGGGAGUCAUCCUUAUCUCUUAAAAGCACAUCUGGAUGGCAGCAGUCUGAUACUGACAAGAAAAAAGUUACAAACAAUGGUCUGAGUGGCCAUUAUAAGAGACAUGGUGGCUCAACAAGUGGGCUUGGUGCUUGGUGGCUAUUCUCCAAGGAGGAGAAGAACCAAGGCUGCUGCCAAGACUCCUUCACCAACUAAACGAUCUCCCCCAACUAAAUGCACACCGG